UACGAAAGGUGGCAGCGAUGAGAGGGGUGCCGUGAGCGCUGUACCGCGUGACAUUGUACCAAACCAGUUGGCACUAAGGUGCAGCUGGAAGGGCUCGCAAGGGGAAAAGCAUUCGUUCUCGAAACUGACCAAUGUCAUCAAGAUGAUAUUAGGGUCCGUGCGUAUAAACUUCAAGGAUGCUACAGAUGCUGCCAUAAAAAAUGUAGUAAAGAAAUGGCUGUCUUUUGCAGCCGAUCGGAAUGGGGGUCGCAUCCAACCAAUGAUUAUGUAACCAAUAUUUCUACGUGCCAAAAUGAACCCAAAUAAAGUUGAGCUACA